rnacentral:tRNA from 1 species
UGGGAGAUCGUCUAACCGGUAGGACAAUGGACUCUGAAUCCAUCAAUCUAGGUUCGAUUCCUAGUCUCCCAGCCA